AGCAGCCGCGGUAAUUCCAGCUCCAAUAGCGUAUAUUAAAGUUGCUGCGGUUAAAAAGCUCGUAGUUGAAUUUCGGGGUUAGUAGGUUGGUCAUGCCUCUGGUAUGCACUGGUCUCACUGAUUCCUCCUUCCUGAUGAGCCGUAAUGCCAUUAAUUUGGUGUUGCGGGGAAUUUGGACUGUUACUUUAGAAAAAAUUAGAGUAGUUUAAAGCAAGCUAACGCUUGAAUACAUUAGCAUGGAAUAAUGAAAUAGGACGUUCGAUCCUAUUUUGUUGGUUUCUAGGAUUGACGUAAUGAUUAAUAGGGAUAGUUGGGGGCAUUAGUAUUCAAUUGUCAGAGGUGAAAUUCUUGGAUUUAUUGAAGACUAACUACUGCGAAAGCAUUUGCCAAGGAUUGCU
rnacentral:rRNA from 1 species